CUCUUGCAGCAGCAGGCACAUCUCUGUUAGCAAAAAUGGUAUCUUGAUCCUUAAGAACCUCACGAGCUAAUGCUGGAGAAGUAAUAAUGAUCCCAAGUUUUUUACCAAGCCAGAGUCUACAAAUGGGGCCAUAAGUUUGGGAAAGAGAUGCAAAAUAUGUAUGAAGUUCAGGUUCAAGAGAAUGGAGAUUACCUAUCAAGGGCAAAGCUUUAGGCCCUGGUGGCAAUCCCUUGU